rnacentral:rRNA from 1 species
AUCGAACGCUGGCGGCAGGCCUAACACAUGCAAGUCGGGCGAGCGGCGGACGGGUGUGCAAUGUAUGGGGAUCUGCCUGAUGGAGGGGGAUAACUACUGGAAACGGUAGCUAAUACCGCAUACUAUCAGAUGAACCCACAUGGGAUUAGCUUGUAGGUGGGGUAACGGCUCACCUAGGCGACGAUCCCUAGCUGGUCUGAGAGGAUGACCAGCCACACUGGAACUGAGACACGGCCCAGAGUCCUACGGGAGGCAAGAGUGGGGAAUAAUGCAGGAUGAACGCAAGCCUGAUGCAGCCAUACCGCAUGUAUGAAGAUGGCCUUCGGGAUGUAGAGUACUUUCAGUCGAGAGGCGUUACCAACUGAAGAAGCUCCGGCUAACUACGUGCCAGCGGCCGCGGUAAUAC